rnacentral:rRNA from 1 species
GACGGAGGGUGCAAGCGUUGUUCGGAAUUACUGGGCGUAAAGCGCGGGCAGGUGGCCUUUUAAGUCCUUUGUGAAAUUCCGGAGCUCAACUCCGGACAUGCAUAGGAUACUGGACGGCUAGAGACUGGUAGAGGCGAGCGGAAUUCCUGGUGUAGCGGUGGAAUGCGUAGAGAUCCGGAGGAACACCAGCGGCGAAGGCGGCGUCCUGGACUGGUACUGACGCUCAGGAGCGAAAGCGUGGGGAGCGAGUCCGG